GUUAUUAGAAAUUUGAGUGUUACAAGUAGUAGUGCAAAAUGAGAGGCAAAAGAGAAGGGACGAUGACAAAGAAAAAAAUUAGGAGUACAAGGUGGAGAUAUGGCUGGCAUAAAGGAAGAAAUGGUGGUGUACGGUGGUACGAGUGGUGGUACAAACAAAAAAAGUAGGAAAAAGAAGAAAGAGAGUGGGAGCAAGGAAAAGAGAAAGGGACAGCCAAAGGAGGGAAAAUAUGAGGGGAAAGAAAAGACAAAAGCGAAAAAAUGGGGAAAUAUGUAAACAAAAUAUGACAAAGGGAAAGAUACAAAAUAAAAUGAAAGAGAGGAGAAAGGGAAAGACAAUAUGAGCAAGUUAUGAGUCAACAC
rnacentral:lncRNA from 1 species